CUGCCCCCAUCAAGGGCCCUGACCCCUCCCACUGUAGCUGCAGGAGGGGGCACAGUCAGAUGCUGGCCGGCAGGGCCCCUUGGGGUGGGGCAGUAGGGACAGGGGUUAUUCCUCCUCUGUCCAGCAGAGGAGACACCAGGUGGCCUAUUACCAGGCAGGGGGCAUGGUGGCAAGGGCAGGCAGGCCCAGGUGCCAGUCAGGGUAGAGAGGAGACUAACUCCUCCCUGCCCUGCUCUGCCUCAGGGGCCAUGGUGCCCUGCUGCUGCAGCAGUGAGGGGAGUGCCUGGCAGACCCAGCUCAGGUCCCUGCCAGUGGGACAGAGAGGGAGGACCCCUCUCUGGCCAGUUCAGCAAGGACUGGCCAUACCCCGCCCCCAGCACAGUUUUAAGGCAGCGGAGGGUGUGCUCUAGCACCCCAUGGCUCCUGGCCCGAGCAACUGCAGGCAUGUGCCCGCAUUCCUUCAGUCUAGAGUCCUGAUACAAAUUGGUUCAGCCUAGGCAGGUUAGACUAACCUGCAAAGGUUGAAUCAGUUCAGGCUGUGGCUUUUUGAUUGUCUGUCCCUAGCCUAAAUGUAUGAGAGAUGUGCUAUAUGUCAGUGGCAUGCUACAUGUGACUAUGGUCAAGGCACCCAAGAGAGAGAAGGGGUACAGAUUUGCCUAUAAAACCCAAGCAGAGAUGAGACCUGUGGAUUUCCCAGAAAGACUUUCUGAAUCUCUGGCUAUAAAGCUUUCUGUUGUCUUUUUGGUUUAUUGUAUUGCAUUUUAAAUUAGACUAUUUAUUGUCACUCUGUUUUACUGGGCUAUGUCUUAGCUUAGGUGAAGUCUAAUAUUAAAUCUGGUAAAAAUGACAUUACUGUGGAUUGUAGUUUCUGGAAACUGGAGUUCAUAGUAUAUGCAAGGAAAUAUGGCAAGAGUAGUUUCUCCUGCUUACAGGGCAAAUGCGUAAGAAAAGUCUCAAGCGAUCCACAGGAAACAGAACAGUGAGCAAGGAUGGCUCCCUAGCUGCUGUCACUCAGUUAUUUACUACAUGAAAAGAUAUUUUUUUCUUUCAUUCUACCUUAAAAAAAAGCCAGGGCUCAUAUGUUAUUCUCACAUUUUAUGGGAGAAAAUAUAGUAUUUGAAAACAGUCAUAUCCCCCCACCUUGGUUUCACCAAACUAAAUAUACCUAAUUCUCUCAACCCUUCCUCAGCUUGCAUCCAAACUCUUUAUCAUCUUUGUUGCUUAUUUUUGGAUCCUUUCCAGUUUCUCCAAAUUCUUCUUAAAUUGUAAAGCCCAGAACAGAACACAGUAUAUUAUCUAGGCCAGGUACAGACAUUACUCUUUUACCAGUAUAAGUGAUUGGACACUGGUCUAUACCCAUAACAGAACAGAAGUUUGGCCAACAGACUAGUUUAAAAGUGGUGGAACCCAGUCUAAGAUCUGACACCCCCCAUCGUCACUGCCACUGCCACCAAAAGGCAGUGUGUUCUGUUUACUACCAGUCUAAACUAUGCUGCUGACAGAAAACUGCAUAACUUAGAUUGGUUCCGGUUCAGGCUUUUUGAAUGUCUGUACCUAACCCUAAGAACUAACAAGUACUGGGUAGAGGGUUACUGCUACCUCCUGUUUCUUACUAUACUAUUUUGGGCUUCUGUUAGUGCAGCCUAAAAUUGCACUUGCUUUUUUGGAAACUGUAUCAUAUUGCUGGCUCAUGUUGAAUCUGAGAUCUACCAAAAUGUCCAAAACCAUUCUCAGCCACACUACUGCCUAACUAGAAAUCUCUUAUCAUGAACUUGUACGCUUAUUUUAUGUAGGGAAGAUUAAACACCUUACUUUUUGUCUUUGUUGAACUUGAUUGAGUCGUCUUCUGUUCAUUCUCCAGCCUAUCAAGAGUCUUUAGAAUUUUAUCUAUUCCUUCAAAGUGUUGAAAAGCCUUUCCAGCUUUGUCAUCCACAAACUUGAUCAGGGAAGUUCUCUACUCUUACAUUGAAAUCAUUAAUAACAAUGUUAAAUAACACCAGACCCAGAAUACACCCCUGUGGAACCAGACUUGAAACCUCCUACUAUUCUGACAUUGAUACAUUUAUAAUUACUCUUUGUUUGUAAUCAUAGGCAAGAAGCAAUCAGCAAAUCAUCUAAUUCUAGUCUGACCACUUAUUGUAGGCUAUGUCAUAGCUGCCUCUAACAGUAGGAGACUCAACUCGGUGGUCCAGUCUAAUCUUCUGUGUUCCAGUGUAAUUCAAUACUUUGGGAUUCUUCAGGAUGAAAGGUACUGAGCACAGUUUGUGAAUCUGCUGGCUACAUCUGUGGUUUUUCAGCUGACUCUGUCUACAGAUUUCCAUAAAGCAUGAACUGAAAUAGACUUAUUCAGACAAUGGAGACUGGAUCAAGUUCCCACUUGCUAAUGUUUUAAUGGACUGCUCUGUUUCCACAUUAAAGCACUUGGUUUGUA